rnacentral:lncRNA from 1 species
AAGAAGGUGUAGAUGUCAGUGACCUGCCUGCCUUGAUGGAUUCAGACGAUGAUGUUAAUAGAUGACCUUCUUCCUCUCUCUCCUGCUGUCUGUAUCUCCCACCACCCCAACUUUCCAUGACUCAGUCUCACACACCGUCACCACUGCCACCAUCUCUCAGCCUUCCAGUGUGCCCUCUAUCUUCUCGAUUCUGGUAAAUUAGCCCUGAGCUAACAUCUGCUGCCAAUUGUCUUCCUUUUUGCUGAAGAAGACUGGCUUUGAAUUAAAAUCCAUGCCCAUCUUCCUCUACUUCAUAUGUGGGACACCUGCCACAGCAUGGCUUGACAAGUGGUGCCAUGUCCACACCCAGGAUCUGAACCAGCAAACCCCAGGCCUCCAAAGCGGAAUAUGCAAACUUAACUGCUGCGCCACCAGGCCGGCCCCAGAGAUUUUUUAGUAUAGGUUUGCUAAAGAUCUAGAGACAGAAUCCAUGUGAAUGGAAAUGAUAAGUGCUACCUCCACAUCAGGCCCUUGGAAGCCUCCAUGUGCCUGUCACCAGCUUUUCCAUUUCCAGAUGACUGGGAUGGAUUCUGCCCUCAGAGAAACCUUCAAAGGCAAGUGUGGAAGAUGUUAGCACCUCCGCCAGCCUGGGUUCCUGGAUUCUAACAGAAAUAAAAGUCCCCCCAUUCCCUAACCCCAGGACAUGAACCAAAAAUAACCGUGCUGUUUUUGAGCCAUUAUAUAUUUGGGGUCUGUUUGUUACCCUAACUUACCUUAACUAACCAUAUUCCUGAACCUGGUAGUAUUCACCAAACCUUAGAGCUGCCAUCUUGUUAUUAAAAAAAAGAAAAGAAAUCUGUUCUUGUUUGGACACAUUCACCCAUCAAGAAAAGCCAUCUCUCUAGCCUCCCUUUCUAUAUAAUAAAUGAACAACACAUAAAUAUUUAUACAUUCAAAUAUUCCAUAGAGCCAUUAUUUCAAUACAGAUAAAUUAAUACCGCAAAAAAUAUAGAGAGUUUCAGAGAUGAAGACAGACUUUCUCUCCUUUUUGUCUCAUACUCUUAGAAUAAACUAGAAAACUCUGUGUCAUUACUUCUUACACAAGUGAAUGGACAUGUGUGUGAAAUAUGAUACAUAACAUUUUUAAAAAGCAAACACAGC